AGGAGCUUGCUCCCGGAUGUUAGCGGCGGACGGGUGAGUAACACGUGGGUAACCUGCCUGUAAGACUGGGAUAACUCCGGGAAACCGGAGCUAAUACCGGAUAGUUCCUUGAACCGCAUGGUUCAAGGAUGAAAGACGGUUUCGGCUGUCACUUACAGAUGGACCCGCGGCGCAUUAGCUAGUUGGUGAGGUAACGGCUCACCAAGGCGACGAUGCGUAGCCGACCUGAGAGGGUGAUCGGCCACACUGGGACUGAGACACGGCCCAGACUCCUACGGGAGGCAGCAGUAGGGAAUCUUCCGCAAUGGACGAAAGUCUGACGGAGCAACGCCGCGUGAGUGAUGAAGGUUUUCGGAUCGUAAAGCUCUGUUGUUAGGGAAGAACAAGUGCAAGAGUAACUGCUUGCACCUUGACGGUACCUAACCAGAAAGCCACGGCUAACUACGUGCCAGCAGCCGCGGUAAUACGUAGGUGGCAAGCGUUGUCCGGAAUUAUUGGGCGUAAAGGGCUCGCAGGCGGUUUCUUAAGUCUGAUGUGAAAGCCCCCGGCUCAACCGGGGAGGGUCAUUGGAAACUGGGAAACUUGAGUGCAGAAGAAGAGAGUGGAAUUCCACGUGUAACGGUGAAAUGCGUAGAGAUGUGGAG
rnacentral:rRNA from 2 species